rnacentral:rRNA from 1 species
GAUCAUGGCUCAGAUUGAACGCUGGCGGCAGGCCUAACACAUGCAAGUCGAACGGUAACAUUUCUAGCUUGCUAGAAGAUGACGAGUGGCGGACGGGUGAGUAAUGCUUGGGAACUUGCCUUUGCGAGGGGGAUAACAGUUGGAAACGACUGCUAAUACCGCAUAAUGUGUUCGGACCAAACGGGGCUUCGGCUCCGGCGCAAAGAGAGGCCCAAGUGAGAUUAGCUAGUUGGUAAGGUAACGGCUUACCAAGGCGACGAUCUCUAGCUGUUCUGAGAGGAAGAUCAGCCACACUGGGACUGAGACACGGCCCAGACUCCUACGGGAGGCAGCAGUGGGGAAUAUUGCACAAUGGGGGAAACCCUGAUGCAGCCAUGCCGCGUGUGUGAAGAAGGCCUUCGGGUUGUAAAGCACUUUCAGUUGUGAGGAAAAGUUAGUAGUUAAUACCUGCUAGCCGUGACGUUAACAACAGAAGAAGCACCGGCUAACUC